GGGCUGUAGCUCAGUGGCAGAGCACUUGCCUAGCAUGUGUGAGGCACUGGGUUCAAUUCUCAGCAGUACCA
rnacentral:tRNA from 1 species